UGGAGAUGUCUCCUUUCCAAUAUAAAUGGAGGCACUCGGUCAUGCUGUGGGUCUUUGGACCUUAGACGCAAGUCGUCGAGAGUGUGACGUGAGGACGGGUUAAAUGCCCA
rfam:Bacillus sp. MTM 116 117, whole genome shotgun sequence.